GACGUAGGGGACGAGCGUUGUCCGGAUUCAUUGGGCGUAAAGCGCGCGUAGGCGGUUACGCAAGUCGGUUGUGAAAAUCCGGGGCUCAACCCCGGACCUGCAUCCGAUACUGCGUGACUAGAGGUAGGUAGGGGAGAUCGGAAUUCCUGGUGUGAGCGGCGAAAUGCGCAGAUAUCAGGAAGAACACCCGUGGCGAAGGCGGUUCUCUGGGACGGUACUGACGCUGAGGAGCGAAAGCGUGGGGAGCGAACAGG
rnacentral:rRNA from 1 species